rnacentral:rRNA from 1 species
GACGAACCGUGCGAACGUUAUUCGGAAUCACUGGGCUUAAAGGGCGCGUAGGCGGGUUCUCAAGUCAGGGGUGAAAUCCCGCGGCUUAACCGUGGAAGUGCCUUUGAUACUGGGGACCUCGAGGGAGGUAGGGGCGUGCGGAACUUCCGGUGGAGCGGUGAAAUGCGUAGAUAUCGGAAGGAACACCGGUGGCGAAAGCGGCGCGCUGGACCUCUUCUGACGCUGAGGCGCGAAAGCCAGGGGAGCAAACGGG